rnacentral:tRNA from 1 species
UGAGGAUAUAGCUCAGUUGGUAGAGUGCUUGCCUUGCAUGCACAAGGCCCUGGGUUCAAUCCCCAGCACCACAA